rnacentral:rRNA from 1 species
CUUUAAGGGUCCUGAAGGAACGUUGAAGACGACGACGUUGAUAGGCCGGGUGUGUAAGCGCAGCGAUGCGUUGAGCUAACCGGUACUAAUGAACCGUGAGGCUUAAUCUUACAACGCCGAAGCUGUU